AGAAGGUGAACCAGGUCGGACGAGGGCGCGAUGGCGCGGGCUGCAGGCAGCUGAUUGAACCUGUUACUACUAUCAGAUGUGCUUCCCCAUCUCUGGUAAUUUCCUUUGUUCUGAAGCCAUUUUAUCUGAGGUUAAUAUCACCACUUCUGUUUUUUAUGAUUAAUGUUGCCAUGAUAUAUUUUUUCCUACACUUUUUCUUUCAACCUGCCUGUGUCAUUACAUUUGAAAUGAGUUUUUUGUAGACAGAAUAUAGUUGGGUCAUAUUUUGUAGUCCACUGUCCCACUCUCAUCACUGUCUUUUAAUUGGUGUAGACAAUUUACAUUUAAUGUAAUUAUUAAUAUGAUGUAGCUUAAAUAUGACUUUUUUUGUUUGUUUACUCAGUUUUUUUGGUGUAUCUAUUUUCUUU
rnacentral:lncRNA from 1 species